AAAUUUUUAAAAGAUUCAAAAUUUUUAAAUGAAAAAUUAGAGGGACACAUAUCAAUAACUAAUCAAGUAUGUAUGGUAUGGAUAGAGUCCACGAAUAAGAUUAUUAGCCAACAUCAAGUAAAACAUUACAGCAAGUACUCACUGUAAUUUUUAGUAAAUGCUACUGUUAUGACUUUGGCAAGUAUACCAAGUCGUGCAAGUAGUAAAGCCGGUAAGACCGGAAAUCGUUUCCCUAGAGACUUCGAUAUUACUCAACACUCGUAUNAUUACUAACUAACUCAAGCUAAAGAAUGAUUUCAUUUUUUGAUUGGUAUUAUGCAAUGAAAGUAAAUUUUAUGCCUAAGUAAAAUUUGAACUAAUUGGGGCCAAAACUAGUGAAUAUGAAAAUGAUUGAUGACUAUGUGGAAUGAACAUGUUGGAGAAUGAUUUCAACUAAUUCCUUGCUAUGCAAAUGCACUACAACACCCUUCAUUAAUUACUUGUUCUUGCCAACUAGCUAAUUUACUAAAACCCAAUCCCUUGGUGAGUUAGCCUAGGUUCAUUUGUUAAAUCCCAAUCCCUUGGUAAUCCACCAAAUUCACCCGCAUUAAGAAAAGAAGUUAAUGACAACUAAAGGUCCUAGUUCUAUCCCUAGACACUAUUUCCCUUAGGUGUUUAGUCUAGUUCAAGUUUUACCCAAAGUUUCCCAACCUUAAGUAAACCCCACAAUCAAGCUAUGGUUGAUCAAGUCAUAACUAGCAUUAAGAGAAAGACAAAAACACCAACAAGCAAUGAAUGAAGCAUUUUUCAUUUAAACUCAAUUGCAUUUACAAGAAGUUCCUAGUUUACAUCACUCUCCAACAAUAAUGAACUUCCACUGUCCAAAACUAGCUCCCACUGUCCAAAACUAGCUCCAAGAGGCUCUGGAACGCUUCCCUAGGUCUCAGCCGCCAAGAAGAUCCUUGCUCUCAAAAACUGUGUGGCUUUUAUAGGGUAGGGUGCCACAUCAGACAUCUCACGCCCAGCGCCAUUAAAAUGGCGCCAAGAGGCUCCAAGAGGCUCUGGAACGCUUCCCUAGGUCUCAGCCGCCAAGAAGAUCCUUGCUCUCGAAAACUGUGUGGCUUUUAUAGGGUAGGGUGCCACAUCAGACAUCUCACGCCCAGCGCCAUUAAAAUGGCGCCCAGCGCGAAAUACCUCUGGAAACAGUGGAAUCUCACGCCCAACGUGAGGCAGUGGCGCUCAGCGUGAACAAACAGAGAAAACUGGCGCCCAACGUGACAAACUUGCGCCCAGCGUGAGAUCUUGCUGGAAACAGCCAGUUUUCACGCCCAGCGUGAGAAGGUUGGCGCCCAGCGCCAGUUUAGCUUCUUGGACUUCUUCUUUUGUGGUCCUCCCUUGGUUCUCCACUCUUAAACUUGAAUGCCUUUCCAAAGUACUCAAAGUUCCUACAAAAUUUUGAGGAAAAGAGAUGAAAACUCAAGUGUAUAAUCUAAUCUAAGUUUAUUCACAAAGAUGGAAAAGAAGAGGACCAAGCAUGUUUAAAGC
rnacentral:lncRNA from 1 species